rnacentral:lncRNA from 1 species
UUAUAAAUGAUAUUUAAUGUCUAUCUCUGACAAAAACAAAGUAAAUAAAGUAACAAACAUGUUCUCUUUUUCAAAUUGAACUAAAAUUAUGCGAUAUUUAAUGAUUGUUCUACAUGAUUGUUCAUAUGCAAAUAGUCAAUGAUUGUACUAUAAUUAAUGAUAUAUUCCUUUACAAAAUAUACAUGAUUGUUAAACAAGCUUUCUCAAAAUGUUAUCUUUAUUAUUCAAAAAGGGUAAAAAUUUACAAACAGCAAGUUUUAUUGAGUUGACGGUGUGCAUCAUUCAACUAUUGGUUCGCAAACACAUUUUACACAUAUUCUUCUUAACAAGAAUUACUUUUUUCGUCAUUCAAAAAAAUAACAAUGAACACAAAAUCAAAUCAUAAAGAAAUGAGUUAAAAUGUCUAUAGUCUGUAAUUAAUAAAAUGAUUUAAUCAAGUACAACUGAAAGUUACAAUGGGUCUACUUUUUGGCUUGUUCCAUUUCAACAUCUUCAGCCAUUGGUGCCCGGAUAGUAAGAUUCCCUUUAUCAUCUCUAAAACAUUGGAUGUUCUUCCCAUCCACAGACCGCGGAACUGUCAUCUGACGAAAGAACGACUCACGAAUUUCAUGACCAUCCUCAGACCUCUUUCGUUCUCCUUGGGCUGUCAACAUUCCAUCUUUACAUAAAACCUUCACCUCCUCUGGCCGAUAAUUUUCGACAUUGAAUGUCAUCAAAUUGCUGUGGCUGUCACUGGCCACCAAGGACCGACCUUCUUGUGGGACAACUUGGAGUUGCUUCUCCUCUGACACACGGUACGGGGCUUCUAACAUCAUAGUUCCAUCAGAUUUCAUGAAGCUAUGAAUUUUUUCGGCAUCAACAUUCUCUGGAAUCUGGACUGUCCUUGUGCGCUCGACAGUAUCUCCCCAUUCAUCAUUACCAUCUGUGUACUUAGCAUGAAUUAUUACUUUACCUGAAUUAUAGAAAAAAAAAACUUGUUGAGUUUAAGC